UGGUCCUUUAAAUCUUGCAUCAGAAACUUCAAUCUUUUAAUUCAUAUCAUCAUGUUUCCAUUCCAGAAAAUUUCUGCUGAACUGUGCAUGUACUGAAUCUUCUAGUAUGGCUUACCUUUUAUUGUGCAUUUGCAUGCUUUGGCCUAUAUUUCAAUUAUUUCAUUCUGUAUUCUACAGGUCUCUGUCUUUCAAAAUUGGCAGAUUUCAUGGUUGAGUGUCUUCAUGGUUGAGUAUACUAUCCAUUAGAUGAUGCCAAGAUCAGUCUCGAGCUUGGAUAUGGUUCAACUGCAGUGGAACUUUUGACAAGGUGUCUUGCAAAUUAUGCUUUAUUGUAGAAGUUCUUGUGAUUAUUGGACCAGAUUUUGGGCUGUUUCUGGGCUGAACUGGUGCCUUAAGGUCUCUGCUGGUAUGCUGAGGCUGUUGAGCAGAUCUGCUAUGCUGAUUGAUCUGAGCUGAAAAGGGAGGUUGAUUCUGGGUUGAUCUGGUGCCCUGAAGCCAUGGUUUGCAUAGGUCUGCUCUGCUGCCUAUUGAACAGAGUUGCUAUGCUGCUGAUUGCUGAUAUGUUCAAAUACAGUCUUGGUUUCUGUUGUGUUGUAAUAAUUGCUCAGAUAUGUUUAGGAUAUUCUUGGUAUUAGGACUGAGAUGCAGGUAAAUCUGUCACCAAUAUUUGGAAGGUGGAAGCUGGGCUUUGCAGAUUGGUAGUCUCGCUGAGGUAGGCAGCUGGUCUGUUCUGUCUGUGAAGGUAAUAUGGCUCCAGCGUUGCUCCAUUGGAAUGAUCUGUCUGCUCUGUUGGAAGUUGGAAGCUGGUCUGGCUCCACUGUGGCCCCCUUGGAAUGUAUGUUGUAGAUUGUAAUAGCCUCAUACCUUGUUAUUUUCUUUGAUUUUUUUGUUCUUUUAAUAUUUGGUGAGAGCAAAGUGUAGUUUGAGAUUGAAUUUUUAGUGAUUGUUUUUGCCAAAUCACAGAUUGUACGUACUAUUGCUCUUGUAUACAUGUUAAAUUCUCAAGUUUUCUUCUUAGUUAAAUUCUUUGGCUAUGUUGAA